GAUGAAGAACGUAGCGAAAUGCGAUAAGUAAUGUGAAUUGCAGAAUUCAGUGAAUCAUCGAAUCUUUGAACGCACAUUGCGCCCCUUGGUAUUCCGAGGGGCAUGCCUGUUCAAGCGUCAUUAUAACCCCUCAAGCUCAGCUUGGUGUUGGGGCCUGCUGCACUGGCAGCCCUUAAAAUCAGUGGCGGCGCCAUCUGGCUCUAAGCGUAGUAAUUCUUCUCGCUAUGGAGUCCUGGUGGAUGCUUGCCAUCAACCCCCAAUUUUUCUAUGGUUGACCUCGGAUCAGGUAGGGAUACCCGCUGAACUUAAGCAUAUCAAUAAGCGGAGGA
rnacentral:misc_RNA from 1 species